rnacentral:piRNA from 1 species
UAAGUGAGAAGGAAACAUCACGUGCUUAAGU